GUCGAGAAUUUUUCACAAUGGGGGAAACCCUGAUGGAGCGACGCCGCGUGGAGGAUGAAGGCCUUCGGGUCGUAAACUCCUGUCAUGCGAGAACAAGAAAGUGAUAGUAUCGCAAGAGGAAGAGACGGCUAACUCUGUGCCAGCAGCCGCGGUAAUACAGAGGUCUCAAGCGUUGUUCGGAUUCAUUGGGCGUAAAGGGUGCGUAGGUGGCGUGGAAAGUUGAGUGUGAAAUCCUAGGGCUUAACCUUAGAACUGCACUCAAUACUCCCAUGCUAGAGGAAUGUAGAGGAGAGUGGAAUUCACGGUGUAGCAGUGAAAUGCGUAGAUAUCGUGAGGAAGACCAGUUGCGAAGGCGACUCUCUGGGCAUUUCCUGACACUGAGGCACGAAGGCCAGGGGAGCAAACGGGAUUAGAAACCCCGGUAGUCC
rnacentral:rRNA from 1 species